rnacentral:tRNA from 1 species
UAGCUCAGUUGGAAGAGCAGAGAACUCAUAAUUCUUUGGUCGUAGGUUCAAAUCCUGC